GACGAACGCUGGCGGCGUGCUUAACACAUGCAAGUCGAACGGAAAGGCCCUGCUUUUGUGGGGUGCUCGAGUGGCGAACGGGUGAGUAACACGUGAGUAACCUGCCCUUGACUUUGGGAUAACUUCAGGAAACUGGGGCUAAUACCGGAUAGGAGCUCCUGCUGCAUGGUGGGGGUUGGAAAGUUUCGGCGGUUGGGGAUGGACUCGCGGCUUAUCAGCUUGUUGGUGGGGUAGUGGCUUACCAAGGCUUUGACGGGUAGCCGGCCUGAGAGGGUGACCGGCCACAUUGGGACUGAGAUACGGCCCAGACUCGUACGGGAGGCAGCAGUGGGGAAUAUUGCACAAUGGGCGGAAGCCUGAUGCAGAAACGCCGCGUGCGGGAUGACGGCCUGCGGGUUGUAAACCGCUUUAGCCUGUGACGAAGCGUGAGUGACGGUAAUGGGUAAAGAAGCACCGGCUAACUACGUG
rnacentral:rRNA from 1 species